rnacentral:rRNA from 1 species
UAAAGAUCCGUCGGAUGAGGAUAGGCUCGCGUGACAUUAGCUAGACGGCGGGGUAACGGCCCACCGUGGCGACGAUGUCUAGGGGUUCUGAGAGGAAGGUCCCCCACACUGGAACUGAGACACGGUCCAGACUCCUACGGGAGGCAGCAGUGAGGAAUAUUGGUCAAUGGCCGGAAGGCUGAACCAGCCAUGCCGCGUGAAGGUCAGUGCCCUAUGGGCGUUAAACUUCUUUUGUGCGGGAGCAAUAAGGGCCACGCGUGGCCUGACGAGAGUACCGUACGAAUAAGCAUCGGCUAACUCCGUGCCAGCAGCCGCGGUAAUACGGGGGAUGCAAGCGUUAUCCGGAUUUAUUGGGUUUAAAGGGUGCGUAGGCUGUGAGGUAAGUCAGCGGUGAAAUGCCCCCGCUCAACGGGGUGAAGUGCCAUUGAUACUGCCUUGCUGGAAUGCGGAUGCCGUGGGAGGAAUGUGUGGUGUAGCGGUGAAAUGCAUAGAUAUCACACAGAACACCGAUUGCGAAGGCAUCUCACGAAUCCGCGAUUGACGCUGAUGCACGAAAGCGUGGGUAUCAAACAGGAUUAGAUACCCUGGUAGUCCACGCUGUAAACGAUGAUGACUAACCGUCGGCGAUACACAGU